UAGGGAAUAUUGCACAAUGGGCGAAAGCCUGAUGCAGCGACGCCGCGUGAGUGAUGAAGGCCUUCGGGUCGUAAAGCUCUGUUGUAUGGGAAGAAAUGCGGAUGGCUAAUAUCCAUCCGAGUUGACGGUACCAUAUCAGAAAGGACCGGCUAACUUCGUGCCAGCAGCCGCGGUAAGACGAAGGGUCCUAGCGUUGUUCGGAAUCACUGGGCGUAAAGCGUAUGUAGGCGGGCUUUUAAGUCGAAUGUGAAAUCCCAUGGCUCAACCAUGGAAUUGCAUCCGAAACUGGAAGUCUUGAGUGUGGGAGAGAUUGGUAGAAUACCUGGUGUAGUGGUGAAAUACGUAGAUAUCAGGUGGAAUACCGGUGGCGAAGGCGGCCAAUUGGCCCAACACUGACGCUGAGAUACGAAAGCGUGGGGAUCAAACAGG
rnacentral:rRNA from 1 species